rnacentral:rRNA from 1 species
UAACGUCGAGAAAUCGGCGCUAAUACCUCAUAAUGCAGCGGAUCCGCAUGGAUAUGUUGUUAAGGUUUACCGCCUUGGGAUAGGCUUGCGUCUGAUUAGCUAGUUGGUGUGGUAACGGCACACCAAGGCUACGAUCAGUAACUGGUCUGAGAGGAUGAUCAGUCACACUGGAACUGAGACACGGUCCAGACUCCUACGGGAGGCAGCAGUGAGGAAUAUUGGGCAAUGCUCGAAAGAGUGACCCAGCAACGCCGCGUGGAGGAUGAAGGUAUUCUAUAUCGUAAACUCCUGUGAGAGCAGACGAAAGACAGAUUAUUAAUCUGGAUGACUGUAUGCUCAGAGGAAGCCCCGGCUAACUACGUG